rnacentral:lncRNA from 1 species
UGGUUCAAAUUCUUGCUGGCAAAAUGCUUACAGGCAUCUCUUUGCUGGAUGCUCAGACAUUGUUGCUGCUGAGGAGAAGCGAUCCCGGUUUGCUUGGCACCUCAGUGAUUGCUUCCAGAAAGAUUCUGGUCGGUCUUCUUUCCCUUCCUGCAAUGCAAAUUCUGCCAUGGUUAAUUGUCUGAAAAAGCUAGAUAACCAUGAGCAUAAGGUCUAUCUUGAAUUCUUACUUGAAACCAAUACGAUCUGCUAUCAGUUACAGUUAAGUCUUCCCUGCUACCCACUUGUCUUUUUCCUCUUUACUGGUUCUAUAAUGGCGUAUUCAAUUGUAUCUAAUAAGAACUGUGGUGUUUGUUGUAUUGCAGGAGCCAUGCAUUCAAACACGAAACAGAGAGACUGGUUAAUGAACUUAAGAAAUCAGCACAAUAUACAGAGAGCAAAUUAGAAAACUUAGACAAGAAAUCAGAUAUUUUAUUGCAGAGUUCGAACCAGAUUCACGAUUCAUUGAAUUCAGUCGAUAUUCGGAUCCAAAACGUAGUUCAAACAACUCGGGACUUGGGGGAAGAUAUGGAUGGCUUAACGCAGCACACAAAGGUGGUUUAUCAGCAGGCUAGGGAUAUUGCAGCUUCCCAAUUGGAGCUGAGACAAGAACAGAUGAACAUGAAUGGAAAGUUGAAUGAAGGCAUGAACAUGCUUCAUGAUGCCUACAGAAAUCUUGGGGAAGGAAUAGAUUACCUGAGAAAUGAGACUAUUGAAAUAGAAAAUGAGAUAGACAAACUCGGGGGAGUAGUGUCUUCGAAGAUGAGUGAUCUGCAGAAAACUGCUGAUGAUAUCGAGAAUAUUACUGGGAUUUCUCUUGGAAGGCAACAAGAACUGCUUGAUGGACAAUCCACCGCACUUGAUGGUCUUCGGUUUCUGACUGAAUUUCAAUCUAAUGCACUAGAAGAGAGCAGGUAAAUUAAGAAAUGAGAUAAUAGACAUAAUGGGAAAUUCCGAAAAUUCACAGAUUUAUUUGAAUUUCAUUGCUGAAUUACAGGAAUACACUACAAGAGUUGGCAGAAUAUGGUCGAAG